rnacentral:tRNA from 1 species
GGGGGUGUAGCUCAUCUGGGAGAGCGCGGCGUUCGCAACGCCGAGGUAGCCGGUUCGAUCCCGGUCACCUCCACCA